CUCGUAUCGGUUUAGCUCCAAAUUUUAGUGCCUCAUAAUUUGUGGGGUUCCUACACAGAAUAAACAAGAAUUUUUUUGCAUUUAAUUAAUUAAUAAAAACUAAAUAAAAUAAUUAAAAAUAAAAAUCAUCCAAAUUAAAAUUAUACAAUCUAAAUAAAUUAAACUAAGUAAAAUUUCAAAAUAUUUAAUCAAAAUCAGAUUCCAAUUGAUCCCAUACAAUGAUCGAGUCUAUCCCACGACCCGCAACCUCCUCGGUGGCUUACCUCCUCGCGGAUUGGGUCUGGUUGCUUUGGCUCGGGUUGCAAAAUUGGAUGCCUCUGAUGGAUGGUUGUUUCGGUAGGAACACGUUGUCAAAGUUGUGGUCUAACUCUUCUCCUUCUUCCUUAGCAUCCAAUUCUCCUUCCUCCUCCCCUUCCUCAUAUUUGGCUUGCACGAAAAAUCGCGUGGAAGGGUAUCAGUUCGGUGACGGAUUAGGUACGUAGAUACCAUACCUCUGAGCGUAGUCAAUGCCCACCGGUGUCAUUACUUUUAUCCAUUGGAUUACCCACUCUAUGUCAAUCAUAUCACUAGACCCAUGGCUCGGUUCCUCUUCUCCUUACUCUUCCGCUUCAAAGAUUUCGAGACAUCCAUUUUGUUUUUUUGAUUUUUUUAAUUCUUUGAUUUGCUUCCUUUGAAGCUUGAUGUAUUGAGUGUAGAGUAAUUACUGAUGAGGAUCCUCAUCAGCUUUACAAACUGCUCCGUUGAGGAAAUGGGAACCUUCGCCUCUUUGCAUAGGGAAGUCACUAGGUACGGUAAAAAUAUCCCAACC
rnacentral:lncRNA from 1 species